rnacentral:pre_miRNA from 1 species
AUGUUACUCCCUCCGUUUCAUAAUUCUUGUCUCAAAUUUGUUCAAAAAUGGAUGUAUCUAUUUUUUUUAAAUGUCUAGAUACAUGUAAAAUUUCGACAAGAAUUAUGAAGCGGAGAUAGUACUAC